UGGGGGAUAUUGCACAAUGGGCGAAAGCCUGAUGCAGCGACGCCGCGUGGGGGAUGAAGGCCUUCGGGUUGUAAACUUCUUUUGCUCUGAACAAGGCAUGCCUUUGGGGUGUGUUGAGUGUAGGGGUUGAUUAGCGCCGGCUAACUACGUGCCAGCAGCCGCGGUAAUACGUAGGGCGCGAGCGUUGUCCGGAAUUAUUGGGCGUAAAGGGCUUGUAGGUGGCUGGUUGCGUCUGUCGUGAAAGCUCAUGGCUUAACUGUGGGUUUGCGGUGGGUACUGGCUGGCUUGAGUGCAGUAGGGGAGGCUGGAAUUCCUGGUGUAGCGGUGGAAUGCGCAGAUAUCAGGAGGAAUACCGGUGGCGAAGGCGGGUCUCUGGGCUGUUACUGACGCUGAGGAGCGAAAGCGUGGGGAGCAAACAGG
rnacentral:rRNA from 1 species